AAACCAUUCUUGAAACUGUCCAAAAAAUCUUUUGACGAAGCCAUGGUUCUAUAUGAACUAACUUAUCUUAAUUAAUUUACUUUCAAUAUUUUGUCUGGCUGAAGAUAUUAAACUUAGUACUUCUGAGAGGAAAAUCCAAUUUCUUUAAACUAAUAUCUUUUCUAUUGAAUAAACAGAGAUAUCCAUCUUUAAAUUUCAGACUUCAAGCCAAUAUCACACCAGAUCACCUUCAACACAGAACACAUAUUUACCAAGUGACAUCUUUCUUUUUCUUUCUUGUAUUACAUUUUCUUUCCUCCUUUAUUAGAGAUAAUGAUAUUUAAGUUGGGGGGG
rnacentral:lncRNA from 1 species